CACCUAUGUUGUUUGGUUGCACUUGCUCAUCGACAACUGCAGCCAUUGUGUCUGUUUCUGUCUGUGUUCUGAGUUGGCGAGCAGUACGAUCGAUGCUAUCGUUGAAUAAGAGAUUUUUAUUUCCUUGUGACCGUGUUUGCAUACAACGA
rnacentral:sRNA from 1 species